UACGUAGGAGGCGAGCGUUGUCCGGAGUUACUGGGCGUAAAGCGUGCGCGGGCGGUCUGUUAAGACCGAUGUGAAAUCCCCGGGCUUAACCUGGGAACUGCAUUGGUGACUGGCAGGCUUUGAGUGUGGCAGAGGGAGGUAGAAUUCCACGUGUAGCAGUGAAAUGCGUAGAGAUGUGGAGGAAUACCGAUGGCGAAGGCAGCCUCCUGGGCCAACACUGACGCUCAUGCACGAAAGCGUGGGGAGCAAACAGG
rnacentral:rRNA from 1 species